UUUGUGUUUGGGUGAAAUGGCUGUAUAUAACUGUUAAGUUCCUUUGAGUCAUAACAUCUGUAAAUUCUAUUAAUUCUCUAGUAUUUUUCUGGAUAACCUGUCCAUUGGUGAAAAUGAGGUACUGAAGUCUCCCACUAUCAGUGUGAAUGAGUCUACUUUGUAUAAGCUUUAGUACUGUUUCCUUUACAAAUGUGGGUGCCCUUGUAUCAUUUCUGAUAUAGAUGUUAGGAACUGAAAGAUUAUCUUAGUACUAGUAGUAUUCUC
rnacentral:lncRNA from 1 species